rnacentral:rRNA from 1 species
AAACCAACCGGGAUUGCCUUAGUAGCGGCGAGUGAAGCGGCAAGAGCUCAAAUUUGAAAUCUAGCGCCUUCGGUGCUCGAGUUGUAAUUUGUAGAGUGGAUCCUUGGGGCCGUUCCUUGCCUAUGUUCCUUGGAACAGGACGUCAUGGAGGGUGAGAACCCCGUGUGGCGAGGGGUGCGGUUCCGUGUAAGGGCUGCUCGAAGAGUCGAGUUGUUUGGGAAUGCAGCUCUAAGUGGGUGGUAAAUUCCAUCUAAAGCUAAAUACUGGCGAGAGACCGAUAGCGAACAAGUACAGUGAUGGAAAGAUGAAAAGAACUUUGAAAAGAGAGUGAAAAAGUACGUGAAAUUGUUGAAAGGGAAGGGCAUUUGAUCAGACAUGGUGUUUUGCGCCCCCUGCUCCUUGUGGGUGGGGGACUCUCGCAGCUCACUGGGCCAGCAUCAGUUUUGGCGGCUGGACAAAGCCGGAGGAAUGUGGCUUCCCUCGGGAAGUGUUAUAGCCUACGGGAAUACAGCCAGCUGGGACUGAGGAACGCGACUUUUGUCAAGGAUGCUGGCAUAAUGGUUAUAUGCCGC